rnacentral:rRNA from 2 species
UCUGAUGGAGCAACGCCGCGUGAGUGAAGAAGGUUUUAGGAUCGUAAAACUCUGUUGUUGGAGAAGAACAGGGACUAGAGUAACUGUUAGUCCUUUGACGGUAUCCAACCAGAAAGCCACGGCUAACUACGUGCCAGCAGCCGCGGUAAUACGUAGGUGGCAAGCGUUGUCCGGAUUUAUUGGGCGUAAAGCGAGCGCAGGCGGUUUUUUAAGUCUGAUGUGAAAGCCUUCGGCUUAACCGAAGAAGUGCAUUAGAAACUGGGAAACUUGAGUGCAGAAGAGGACAGUGGAACUCCAUGUGUAGCGGUGAAAUGCGUAGAUAUAUGGAAGAACACCAGUGGCGAAGGCGGCUGUCUGGUCUGUAACUGACGCUGAGGCUCGAAAGUAUGGGGAGCGAACAGGAUUAGAUACCCUGGUAGUCCAUACCGUAAACGAUGAAUGCUAAGUGUUGGAGGGUUUCCGCCCUUCAGUGCUGCAGCUAACGCAUUAAGCAUUCCGCCUGGGGAGUACGACCGCAAGGUUGAAACUCAAAGGAAUUGACGGGGGCCCGCACAAGCGGUGGAGCAUGUGGUUUAAUUCGAAGCAACGCGAAGAACCUUACCAGGUCUUGACAUCCUUUGACCACUGUAGAGAUACAGCUUUCCCUUCGGGGACAAAGUGACAGGUGGUGCAUGGUUGUCGUCAGCUCGUGUCGUGAGAUGUUGGGUUAAGUCCCGCAACGAGCGCAACCCUUAUGACUAGUUGCCAGCAUUUAGUUGGGCACUCUAGUAAGACUGCCGGUGACAAACCGGAGGAAGGUGGGGAUGACGUCAAAUCAGCAUGCCCCUUAUGACCUGGGCUACACACGUGCUACAAUGGUCGGUACAACGAGUUGCGAACCCGCGAGGGUAAGCUAAUCUCUUAAAGCCGAUCUCAGUUCGGAUUGUAGGCUGCAACUCGCCUACAUGAAGCCGGAAUC